AAAGACGACUGUUUUUAGCUAAAAGACCUGAAGAGUCAGCAUGAAUUCUGCUCCCAGCACAGUGAUGCCACAGACACACAGCUCAGGCAGAGUUGGCGACACUUUGAGGAGCAGCUGAAGGUCCGGGUGAGCUGAAGAGAGCGAUGCUGAGCUGACCUGAGUUAAAAGGGAUCCAGUGCAAAACAGUGGCAAGAGGGCAGGCAGGUGCCAUACUGAAAUCCUUCCCAGGAGUCAGAGCGUGAAACAGGUGCUGUGACCAGAGAGCUGUAGCACAAGAAAAGCAAGUGAGUUCUGCAGCUGAAUGACAGCAUGGCAGCA